GCCGGGAUUCACUCGCUUACAGUCACAUGCCUAUACGUUCCGGUCAUGUGACUUGCGCCGUCGAAAAUGACCGCUGGACACAGCCAGCAGAAUGCAGCAGUGGUCUUGUUGUUCAUUCAUUUAUGUUUCUCUGGUGGUUAUCAACUGACUGAGUUACAGGUGGGCCUGUGCCAUCUCUGCAACGGGACGGUCCAGAACGGCACUGCCGUGAGCCAGUUCUGUUCCGCGUCUGCGGGUUUGAUUGAUGGCCGCUGCUGCCUGCUGAGAAAAGAGGACAUCAGGGAUGCGGACUACGUCAUCGGGUUGGACCUAUCAAACUGUUCCCUGAGCCGUGUGGAAGACCUUCAAGAUGCAUUCAGCGCUACAACAAUAGAUCUCUCACUGAAUCCCAUUUUAAAUCUGGACGAUUCGCUGUUUGAAGGCUUUAUCCAGUUGGCUACCCUGAUUCUGCCUGCCAACCUGGUCUGUCCAGGAGGCAAUGCAUCAUGGGAUAAGGUGAAGGUCAAAGGGGAAACUCAUGUUUGUGAAGGACAGAAAGACAUCUGUAACCAGACUGGUUAUUUGUCGUUGAACUGCCCCGAGAACUCCCUCUGUGUACCAUACGGUCCGGGCUUCUUUCAAUGUAGCUGCUCGGAUGCCUUCCGUGGAUACAAGUGUCUUCGAGAGGGAGAGUUUCCUAUAAUCCAGGUGUUCGGGCCUCUAGCGGGCUCCACAGUCCUGGUCUCCAUCCUGCUAUGGGUCACCCAAAGACGCAAGGCCAUAUCAGUCUGAGGUUGUACCCGAGCACCUGGUCUGAGGCCUAGUCCUAGGACAUUUUCAAGUGGUACUGACCUGAAAUAGCAGGGGAAAUGCUCAGGGGUUAAUGUCAUAGUGCUGACAGUGGACUGUUGAUUGAGGAGAUGGUCUCAGGGGUUAAUGUCAUAGUGCUGACAGUGGACUGUUGAUUGAAAUGGUCUCAGGGGUUAAUGUCAUAGUGCUGACAGUGGACUGUUGAUUGAAAUGAUGGUCUCAGGGGUUAAUGUCAUAGUGCUGACAGUGGACUGUUGAUUGAGGAGAUGGUCUCAGGGGUUAAUGUCAUAGUGCUGACAGUGGACUGUUGAUUGAAAUGGUCUCAGGGGUUAAUGUCAUAGUGCUGACAGUGGACUGUUGAUUGAAAUGGUCUCAGGGGUUAAUGUUAUAGUGCUGACAGUGGACUGUUGAUUGAGGAGAUGGUCUCAGGGGUUAAUGUCAUAGUGCUGACAGUGGACUGUUGAUUGAGGAGAUGGUCUCAGGGGUUAAUGUCAUAGUGCUGACAGUGGACUGUUGAUUGAGGAGAUGGUCUCAGGGGUUAAUGUCAUAGUGCUGACAGUGGACUGUUGAUUGAAAUGGUCUCAGGGGUUAAUGUCAUAGUGCUGACAGUGGACUGUUGAUUGAAAUGGUCUCAGGGGUUAAUGUCAUAGUGCUGACAGUGGACUGUUGAUUGAGGAGAUGGUCUCAGGGGUUAAUGUCAUAGUGCUGACAGUGGACUGUUGAUUGAGGAGAUGGUCUCAGGGGUUAAUGUCAUAGUGCUGACAGUGGACUGUUGAUUGAGGAGAUGGUCUCAGGGGUUAAUGUCAUAGUGCUGACAGUGGACUGUUGAUUGAGGAGAUGGUCUCAGGGGUUAAUGUCAUAGUGCUGACAGUGGACUGUUGAUUGAGGAGAUGGUCUCAGGGGUUAAUGUCAUAGUGCUGACAGUGGACUGUUGAUUGAGGAGAUGGUCUCAGGGGUUAAUGUCAUAGUGCUGACAGUGGACUGUUGAUUGAGGAGAUGGUCUCAGGGGUUAAUGUCAUAGUGCUGACAGUGGACUGUUGAUUGAGGAGAUGGUCUCAGGGGUUAAUGUCAUAGUGCUGACAGUGGACUGUUGAUUGAGGAGAUGGUCUCAGGGGUUAAUGUCAUAGUGCUGACAGUGGACUGUUGAUUGAGGAGAUGGUCUCAGGGGUUAAUGUCAUAGUGCUGACAGUGGACUGUUGAUUGAGGAGAUGGUCUCAGGGGUUAAUGUCAUAGUGCUGACAGUGGACUGUUGAUUGAGGAGAUGGUCUCAGGGGUUAAUGUCAUAGUGCUGACAGUGGACUGUUGAUUGAGGAGAUGGUCUCAGGGGUUAAUGUCAUAGUGCUGACAGUGGACUGUUGAUUGAGGAGAUGGUCUCAGGGGUUAAUGUCAUAGUGCUGACAGUGGACUGUUGAUUGAGGAGAUGGUCUCAGGGGUUAAUGUCAUAGUGCUGACUGUGGACUGUUGAUUGAGGAGAUGGUCUCAGGGGUUAAUGUCAUAGUGCUGACAGUGGACUGUUGAUUGAGGAGAUGGUCUCAGGGGUUAAUGUCAUAGUGCUGACAGUGGACUGUUGAUUGAGGAGAUGGUCUCAGGGGUUAAUGUCAUAGUGCUGACAGUGGACUGUUGAUUGAGGAGAUGGUCUCAGGGGUUAAUGUCAUAGUGCUGACUGUGGACUGUUGAUUGAGGAGAUGGUCUCAGGGGUUAAUGUCAUAGUGCUGACAGUGGACUGUUGAUUGAGGAGAUGGUCUCAGGGGUUAAUGUCAUAGUGCUGACUGUGGACUGUUGAUUGAGGAGAUGGUCUCAGGGGUUAAUGUCAUAGUGCUGACAGUGGACUGUUGAUUGAGGAGAUGGUCUCAGGGGUUAAUGUCAUAGUGCUGACAGUGGACUGUUGAUUGAGGAGAUGGUCUCAGGGGUUAAUGUCAUAGUGCUGACAGUGGACUGUUGAUUGAGGAGAUGGUCUCAGGGGUUAAUGUCAUAGUGCUGACAGUGGACUGUUGAUUGAGGAGAUGGUCUCAGGGGUUAAUGUCAUAGUGCUGACAGUGGACUGUUGAUUGAGGAGAUGGUCUCAGGGGUUAAUGUCAUAGUGCUGACAGUGGACUGUUGAUUGAGGAGAUGGUCUCAGGGGUUAAUGUCAUAGUGCUGACAGUGGACUGUUGAUUGAGGAGAUGGUCUCAGGGGUUAAUGUCAUAGUGCUGACAGUGGACUGUUGAUUGAGGAGAUGGUCUCUAGGCCCAUAUGACAUGUUUUAAGACUUAUAGUUUUUGAUGCUCAGUGUGUAAUCGCCACAAAUUUUGCAAUUGUUGUACAGCGUGCAGCCAUUUAUCUCGAUCAGCAUGGUGUUAUGUUCAACAUAAGCUGUAACUUAAUGUAUAUUCCAUUCAUGGUUUAUUUACUAAGACUAACGCUCAGGUAUCCUCAUCUACUUUGCAUGUGAAUAAGUCAAUUCUCAUAGGAGCUAUAAUGUGCAAUAUAAAUUGCAAUAGCAACAAAAUAUAUUAUCAUUGUUUUUUUGGGGGGGACUGACAAGAUAUCGAUGUGAUAAAUAACAUUAUAGAGAGACAUGAGCAGAACACAUUGCUUGCAGACAGUACCACCAAUGUUGCCUUGUUCGUACAUGGUUACAGGUCAAUAUGUUUAUUAACUGAAAUGGGUUGCCUUGGAUUAAAGACGGAUGUUAUACACGGACUCAAGUGA